ensembl:lncRNA
AAGUCAUCAAUCUAGGACUGACAUUUAUGAUUACAGAAUUUGUUGUUAAAUGCUGUCGAUUGACUUGUAACAGAUAAUUAGUAAACGAGCCAUUUAUUAUUUAAAAAUGUAAAAGUAAUUUCGUUUUGCAAGAACAAAAAAGGCGCAAAGCUAAAAGCUUGCCAAUAGAGUAACCACCACCAAAGCAUUUCACCUUUGUAGCAGAGAAGUCCCCUCUUCGCUGUCAUCUUCAUUUAGUAGCCGGUUAAAUUGGGCAUUCAUUCUGUCUCUAAUAUCAUUGACUCUCCGUCGAAAUGCAGCGCUCCGUUCAGACAUGACUGUCCAUAUAAAGUCUGCCAAAAGGCUGGGCAGAUAUAUAUAUAUAGCAUCCCAAAAAUUCAAAGUACGGCGGGAGAAGGUACAUCGUUUGUGAUUGGAUCAGCAAGACUGAAGGUUGUCUUUUUUUUUUUUUUUUUUUUUUAAAUAAUCCACCCCUUACCACAACCUGUGAUCAGAAUUUGUGGUAACCAAUUCUGAGUCAACGUCAUAUUUGUGUCGUCUCAAUCAAGCUAUGUGCGACAAACUACAUCUAGGUGAAAGGAUGCGAAAUCUCUGCACCAACAAAAAAAACAACAGAAAAACCCAAAACACAUUUGACCUCAACAGGUGACAACAACAUCGAAAACAAACAAAAGACCCCCCCAAAAAAAGUCUAUUUAUAGAUGACCAGAGACCAAAGCGACAAUCAUCUGAACAGCCUCUUUCACAGUGGUACAUCCCUCCAGGUAACCAUUCACAAGUCUUGUACAGUAGAGCGGGACAUUACAUUUACUCUCAGCCGAAUUGACCUGAGAAAGCAUAUAAGUUCAUGCACUCCACUGGCCUGCACCACGAUUAGUAUAAGGUAAGAAUGAAUGCAUUUGCUACUAUUCGUUAUUUACAGGUUAUUUCAGUAAACUCAUUUGAAUUAGAUCGUGACAGAUGUUCAGAAUUUUCAGCUUUUGAUGUCCAUCCCGAUAAGCACGCAUGUGCCUUUUUAAAUGCAUGUAUAGUUGUAUCUACAAUACCAGGAUUUAGUAAUACAGUGGGGUAUACAAAGAGCCAAAUGAGAGUGUUAAGCAGCCAGUAAAACCCAACACUGCAGACUGAAAGACAAACUCCAUGAACUGAAAACUGACCUUAAAUAUGGGUGCGGCAAAACCACAGUGAGGAGAAAAAAGUUCCAAAACUAACGCACAGGAAGCCAUAAGGUAGACAAACAAAGUGUACAGCUUGAAACAUAACAACAGAGUAGAGAGCUGAGGAAAGCUGAAGGCUUAAGAACUUGCGCAAGUUGAUUAGGGAGAGAGGACGCAGCUGGGAGAAACAAGACACAGGUGAAUUGAAUCAAACAAGUAUGACCAGUUGAAGUAAAAGCAAGUGCACAAAAGCCUAGAGGUCAACAAUAUAAAGCAGUAACCAACUAAAGAUAGGACACAGAAAUGCAGACUUUGCACUAGGAACACUGAAUGGCAGGAGAACCGCCUCAAAGAAUAAAGAAAUGAAUAAAGAACAGUAUAUGCAGAAAAUAAAGAAUAAAGUUAAAAGACAGCGUGGUCUUCAAGAACCCAGAGUACAAUACAAAAAUGUUGUUUUAUUCAAGUGAACAAAACAAUGUAGACCAAGUUCAUUUUGUUAAUAAGUUGGAAAUAAAUAAAAACUAAUGACAGCAUUUAAAAUAAAAAAAAAUGAAUAACAUAGAUUAUCAAAACUGAUUUUUCAGAUAUGCAGAG